GAAACAUCUAAGUACCCCGAGGAAAAGAAAUCAACCGAGAUUCCCCCAGUAGCGGCGAGCGAACGGGGAGGAGCCCAGAACCUGAAUCGGCUUGUGUGUUAGUGGAAGCGUCUGGAAAGUCGCGCAGCAAAGGGUGAUAGCCCCGUACACUAAAAUGCACAGGUCGUGAGUUCGAUGAGUAGGGCGGGACACGUGACAUCCUGUCUGAAUAUGGGGGGACCAUCCUCCAAGGCUAAAUACUCCUGACUGACCGAU
rnacentral:rRNA from 1 species